rnacentral:rRNA from 1 species
AUUGAACGCUGGCGGCAGGCCUAACACAUGCAAGUCGAGCGGAUGAAGGGAGCUUGCUCCUGGAUUCAGCGGCGGACGGGUGAGUAAUGCCUAGGAAUCUGCCUGGUAGUGGGGGAUAACGUCCGGAAACGGGCGCUAAUACCGCAUACGUCCUGAGGGAGAAAGUGGGGGAUCUUCGGACCUCACGCUAUCAGAUGAGCCUAGGUCGGAUUAGCUAGUUGGUGGGGUAAAGGCCUACCAAGGCGACGAUCCGUAACUGGUCUGAGAGGAUGAUCAGUCACACUGGAACUGAGACACGGUCCAGACUCCUACGGGAGGCAGCAGUGGGGAAUAUUGGACAAUGGGCGAAAGUCUGAUCCAGCCAUGCCGCGUGUGUGAAGAAGGUCUUCGGAUUGUAAAGCACUUUAAGUUGGGAGGAAGGGCAGUAAGUUAAUACCUUGCUGUUUUGACGUUACCAACAGAAUAAGCACCGGCUAACUUCGUG